UUCUGUGUUUGCUCUCUGAAUAUUCGAGCAGUGGAUUACAAGAUAAUGUUUAACAAUCAUCCAUAGGCAGAUCAUCUUAGCAAGAUGGCUCCAUCUGUCGUCCGUGAUGCAUGACUUACCUUAGCACGCUGCAUCGAUGGGACACAGGGCGUCUUUACACGCUGCAUCGAUGGGACACAGGGCGUCUUUACACGCUGCAUCGAUGGGACACAGGGCGUCUUUACACGCUGCAUCGAUGGGACACAAGGCGUCUUUACACGCUGCAUCGAUGGGACACAGGGCGUCUUUACACGCUGCAUCGAUGGGACACAGGGCAUCUUUACACGCUGCAUCGGUGGGACACAGGGCAUCUUUACACGCUGCAUCGAUGGGACACAGGGCGUCUUUACACGCUGCAUUGAUGGGACACA